UUCUACCCGGGAGACAGCAGUAGGGAAUCUUCCGCAAUGGACGAAAGUCUGACGGAGCAACGCCGCGUGAGUGAUGAAGGCUUUCGGGUCGUAAAACUCUGUUGUUAGGGAAGAACAAGUGCUAGUUGAAUAAGCUGGCACCUUGACGGUACCUAACCAGAAAGCCACGGCUAACUACGUGCCAGCAGCCGCGGUAAUACGUAGGUGGCAAGCGUUAUCCGGAAUUAUUGGGCGUAAAGCGCGCGCAGGUGGUUUCUUAAGUCUGAUGUGAAAGCCCACGGCUCAACCGUGGAGGGUCAUUGGAAACUGGGAGACUUGAGUGCAGAAGAGGAAAGUGGAAUUCCAUGUGUAGCGGUGAAAUGCGUAGAGAUAUGGAGGAACACCAGUGGCGAAGGCGACUUUCUGGUCUGUAACUGACACUGAGGCGCGAAAGCGUGGGGAGCAAACAGGAUUAGAUACCCUGGUAGUCCACGCCGUAAACGAUGAGUGCUAAGUGUUAGAGGGUUUCCGCCCUUUAGUGCUGAAGUUAACGCAUUAAGCACUCCGCCUGGAGACGCGACGC
rnacentral:rRNA from 1 species